ACCUCUCUCAGGCAUGGCAGAACAGAACCACCUUGACAUCUGGGGACCAAUUCAAGCACUUCUCACCCUGGAAACAGAAGAAAUCUUUCAUUAAGGAGUUUGCUGCUGUUAAUCAUCUUUUUACUAUAAAAACCUAUCUGUUCAAACCCCAGGAGGUCUCCUGACCUCCAGCAAUUGUUAAGCACUACCUGCUGCCAUUGAAGACUUGAGCGGUUCCCCGUCCACAACCAAGGGAUGCAGGCGCCAGAGGAAGAGAAAGAAGAGGACUCAGGCUGAUAUGUUCAUUCAGAUCCUGCAAGCCAGUGCUGUAUCAGACCACGAGCUAAGGGCCUGGAGCAUGAAGAGGAGGCCUGUAUAGAGAGGGAAAGAGCAGACAGGAGAAAGUCCCAGCAGGAAAAGGAGAGAGGGAGAUGCACCAGGACAUAAUGGGGCUUCUCUGGCAGCAAACACAGAUACUGCAGACUCUUGUGGACCUACAGAUUCAGCAAUCCCAAAUUCACCUUCCCUUGCAGUCCAGAGAGAACUCCAGUAUAGCACUCACCUCCUCAACUUUCCAUGUGGCACCAGGGGCUAUAUCCUUAUCCCUACCUGUUCAUAAUGUGGGACAUUAAAGACAAACACAGCUUCACCUACAUACACAUCAACCAUGGCUCUCAUAGGGCAAUGUAUCUAAAAUGGAUAUGAAUAUUCCUUCCUCUUCUUUACACUCUGUUCCACUCAGUUUGCUUUUAAGUUCCACAGAAUUUUUUGAUGUGUUUUUGUUAGUCAAUAACACUGUUGUUUGGAAAAUAAUAGCUCCCACCCUGCAUAAUGCCUGGCGGUAGCGAAAGCACCCACUUACUUGAUAUUGUACUCUGUGACACAACUCGUAGGAUCAGUGACAAACACAGUAUAAUAAUCAUAAAUGUACAGCAAGCAUCACAGUGUUACUAGGUGCAUUGUCAGUGUUAUAUUCAUAGAUGUGCACCAACACAGGCCCCCAAACUGCAGGACCAGGCAGAGCACAAUACAUUACAAUGCAUUACUGUGGCUUGCUGUUAAAGGCUCUUUCAAAGUCUCCCUGAGCUAUGUAGUUCCAUAUUGAACUCUUCUGAUAGCCCCCGUGUCUCAUU